rnacentral:lncRNA from 1 species
CGGGAUUCGUGAUUCUAUAUGCAAGUACUUGCAAAUUCUUGAGUUGUGAUAUAUAACUCAAGGAACUCAAUGGGUUGGUUUCAUCAUCAUCAUAAGGCUUCAACUCCACAACAAUACCUAAUUCCUUUAAAUUAGGAAUUCUUUUGACAACUUCCCUUGUACAACUGUUUGCACUUACACCAAUAAGUGCGUCGAGUUUAUUUAAGGUAGCAUCAUCAGUAUUAGGGGUUGGUAGGUCCCUUCCCCAAAUCUCAAUAUGUUCUAGUUCUUGCAUGUCCCAAAUUUGCACCGGCAUAUAUGACUGAAAUCCACGCUUUUUAAUGGUCAAAUAUCUUGCAAUAACCAAGAAUUGAAGGUGAAAAAGGUUGGAUAUGGAAGCAGGGAGGUCACCGUUGCAAGUUAGGGCAAGCCAUUGCAGACAAACUAGUUUCGAAAUUUCAAUUGGGAUAUGGUAAAAUCGGACUUCAAAAGCAUAUAGUACCCUAAGCAACUUGAAAUCCAUGGCAUGUAUUGGUAUUGGAUAUGGGUGAUAAGGACCAAAACAAAGGAGAGAACGGGCAGUGGAUGCACAACCACUUUUUAUCGAAUCAGACACUUGGUUGAAGCAGAAUAAACUGUUCCAAUGGGCACACAAGCGGCGCUGGUCUUUUAUAACAUCAUCACAACUUUGUAAGACAUGCAGAAACUUGAUCCUACUAGCUUCUUCCUUACACAAGUGCUGCCAGCAAGAAUGCACACGAUACUUUCUCUCCCAAGACCAAUAUUCAUCCUCUGGAGAUGUGUCGAGAACAAGAUGGUACCACAUAGAAAGCUUUUCCAAGCAUGCCCUGAAUAAAGAUUCAAAACUUUCUUCUCCAAUCGGUUGAAGAAACCCCUCAGCACUCAACAGAAUGUUGAGCAUGUAUAGAUUCAAAUCAAGAUAUGGACGGAAAGCUCCCAUAUAGAGAAAAAACAUUUUUAACUGUUGGGGUAAAUAGUCAUAGCUUGGGAAAAGUACCUCUGAUAUUUGAUUAUAUGCAUCCACAAAGACUGAACUACGUUGCUUGAUGAGUACCUCAGUCCAGUAUUGUGGGGUCUUAUCGGCUUUUGAUAGGAGGUCAGCAACCGUGACUAUCAUAAGAGGAAGGCCUUCACAUUUCUUGGCAAUCUUCUCUCCCAGUUCCUCAAGUUGAGGAGGGAAACCCUCUUCACCAAAUACCUUCUCACCAAGUAAUUCCUUACUUUCUUCCUCAUUCAACAAGUGCAUUCUUCCGUACCCAUUCUCCGCGAAUAUAAUUUUUUUUCUACUUGUAAGUAAGAAUCGAAUCCUUCCAACAAUAUUCUCUUCUCCCAAGCAAUUUCUCAAGUGAUUUGUUGCUUGUAUCUCCCAAACAUCAUCCAAUACAAUGAGACAUUUCUUACCCUUCAAACAUUCUUUCAAGAUUCCAACUAAUUCUUCCUCAUCAACAUCAUCUUGGGUAAGCUGAUGGUAAGAGUUGGGAUCCACUUGAGCUAGAAUGCAUCGUAACAGUUCAUUGGAUUCACAUUUUCUGCCCACUCUGACCCAUGCUCGAAACUCAAAAUAUCUUCGAAUUGAUGGAUCUUCAAAAAUAUUCACAGCAAGAGUCGACUUUCCAACGCCCGCCAUCCCAAUAAUGGAAUAGGUUUCAUUGUUAUUUUCUUCAAGAAGAUACUUUCUCGCUUUCUCAAAAUGAUCAGAUGAUCCAACCAUCUUUGAAGUUCUCCUUCCAUCAAAAUCGAUUCUUGAGGAAAUAGGGUCGCCUUCUUCUUCAGGCAUAUUCUCCAUUUCAUUAGUGUAUUCCUCCUCCAUCAUCUUCAUCUUCUCGACGAAGCAAUCAACAUGGUGUUGCAGACUCUGCAGCUCUACAGGGAAUGACAAGCUGUCUCUCUCGCUUUCGAGUUGUGGAAGAAUCUGAUGUAAGACAUGGGAUUCGAGUAAAUCUUCAAAUUCCCAAACUGCCUCUUUGAUUCGUUCAUCCACACCAUUCACGUUCGUCCUGAUCUUGCUGCAGCUGGUGUCGUCCAAUUUUAGCAGAACAUUCUGCAAGCGAUCCAUCUCGUCAUAGGCAGGUUGCAAGAUUAGUGGAGAGUGGGAAUCGAGAGAAAUGCGAGACGAUUGUAGAAUACGCUGAAUCGUAUUCUUAAGAGAAGUCGCUGCACCAUAAGCAGCCAUAGCGAAAUUUUCAAGGCAGAAUCGCUGAGAAUUUCCCUCCAAUAUGAAGCUUAAAAUGAACUCUGAAAAUAACUAAAAAUCAGCUGAUAUAUGAAGCUUAAAAUGAAAUCUAAAAUAAACUAAAAUUAGUUGCAGUAUAAAGCUUAAAAUGAACUAAAAUCAGCUGCAAUAUGUAGCUUAAAAUGAACUAAAAUCAGCUGCUAUAUGAAGCUUAAAAUGAACUCUAAAAUCAGCUGCAGCGCGUCAAACCCAAUUAGCCUAACAAAGAAAGAAAGAGGAAUUUUAAUAAGCAAAUUGAGAUGAAACAUAUCUAAACUGUACCUCUAUGAGAGGAGAUUGGAGCGAGUCGGCGCGGCGGCAGCUGUGUUUGUUCGGUGUUUACGAGGUCGUCGGAAUAAGAUGAUGAAAAAGGGAAUAGGCGGCGCUGUGUGUUAGUGUUGGUGUUAUACUGUUAUUAGAGAAUAGAUUUAUCAUUUUAAGAACUAAAGUGUAAUUAAUUAAGAUGAAAAUAAAAUUAUUUCAAAAAAAAAAGAUGAAAAUAAAAUGGUUUAAAAAGGUGAGUGAGAGAAAUAAGUGGGUUGGGCCGUUCAUUAUUUUCAAUUGAGUUGGGCUUAAUUAACUAAGUUAUUGGGUUUGCCAACUAAAUAAAUAUGCUUCUUAUAAUUAAUUCAUUAAUUAAAAUAAAGGUUGCUUUUUUUUUUAUAAUUGUUGAUUUCGUAUUUUGGGUUUACAAUCAACUCACUUGUAAUUGAACUAUUGAACUAAUAUCGAUUAUUUUUUUUAUAAUUAAAAUAUCGAUUAGAUGUUGUUUCGGCUUGAUGUAAUGGCAAAGGAAGCCAAAAUUUAUCUCAAAUGCAAAAAACUUAAAACAAAUUAACAAUAGACAAUGGCCACUAUGAGACUCUCGAUUACAACUUAUAUACACAAUUCAACACUAAGUUUCAUGCUCAGUUGCAAAUGAAAGAUGAAGCUGAUCACAAAAGUCAUCAGAAAUUAAUUAAUUAUAUUGCCAGAAUUUGAAAAUGUAAAGCUAUUGAAAACACACAUCAACUUAUAACACACAAUAUCAAAACGAAGUGAAAUCAUGCAUAACAAGUAAUGCUUUCACACAAAUCCAACUUACAACAAUUUCUAUUACAAACAACAUACAUAAGUCACAACUCAUGUUUCAUAACACUCGAAAAAAUCCAAAGCAAGUUACAAUCCUUAAAUUCAGACGACAAUGUCGUAACACAAUCUAAAUUAUGGGAUAACGCGGCGUCUGAGCCCUUCAGCUCUCUCAUUUGCCUGAAAAUUUACAGAACUGUGAUUAUAACGAAGAUAUGACAUGAAUUGAUUUGGUUUGUAUGUGACAAAAGAGAAGAAGUAGGGAAGAAACAUUAAAGACUUGAUAUGUAUUGCAAAGUAGUAAGACUAACCUGUCACGCGAGUUGCAAAGUCCCUUGAGCUCAGAAAGAUGAACGAGUGGUAAGUUUAAAGGAAAACUUAUGCUUUAAUUGAUUGGCACAAGCCACACCUAAAGGAUUGCACUCCACUAAUUCAAUGGUCUUGAUACAAGACUGAUCAUCCGGUAAAUCGAGUUGCUGCAAUUUAUAGCAGUGCUUCAUGAUUAGUUUAAGAAGCCUCGGAAGGCUUCCACGUUGAGGUCUCCAUUGCACCAAAUCGGUGUCCCUAAUUUCAAGUUUAGUAAGUUUCAAAAAACUCCCCAGUUUUAUUUCCCAUUCUGGGCCUCGAAAUGCAUAGCAUUUUAAUUGGAGAACCGAGAGAUUUGGAAGCAGCGAACCAAUAUCAUUCAUGUACUUCCAAGGACAUCCCACCCCCCUCAAAUAUAACUCUGUGAGACUUGAUGGGAACAUUGAAAGAGGAAUAAAAGUAGGAAAGUCGCACUUUAUCACGGGAUUCUUGAUUUUAUAUCUAAGCACUUCCAAAUUCUGGAGUUUUGAUAUAUAACUCAAGGAACUCAAUGGGUUGGUUUCAUCAUCAUCAUAAGGAUUCAAAUCCACAACAAUGUCUAAAUGCGUUAAAUUAGGAAUUCUUUUGAGAACUUCCCUUGUACAACUGUUUGCACUCACACCAUAAAGUCCGCUGAGUUUGUUCAAGGUAGCAUCAUCAGAAUUAGGGGUUGGUAGGUCCCUUCCAAUUAUCACAAGAUGCUCUAGUUCUUGCAUGUCCCAAAUUUGCACAGGCAUAUAAAACUGAACUCCACGCUUUUUAAUGUACAUAUGUGGCCUGAUAAUCAAGAAUUGAAGGUGAAAAAGGUUGGAUAUGGAAGGAGGGAGCUCCCCGUUGCAUUUUAGGGAAAGGUACCGCAGACAAACAAGUUUUAAAAUUUCAAUUGGGAUAUGGUAAAAUCGAACUCUAAUAGCAUAUAGUACUCUAAGCAACUUGAAACCCAUGGCAUGUAUUGGGAUUGGAUAUGGGUGAUAAGGACUCAAACAAAGGAGAGAACGGACAGUGGAUGCACAAUCACUUUUUA